ACCUACAAAUAUAUACAUAACAAAAUAAUCUGUGUAAAGGUUUCGUUUUCGAGGUUUUGGACGGAUUUAAGUGCUUUAGUAAGGAAUAUUUACCAGUUCAUUGUUGGAUCAAAGUGCUACAGGGUACGGUAAUGCUAUUUGAACAAUGAACUUAUAUCGGAAAGCCAAGUUAGCCGUGAAAUUUCGCAAAGCUGGUGAAGGUCAUGUGCUAAGUGAAAGUUCAUCAUCACAGACCCAAAGUCAGCCCAAUGUUCCACAGCAACCACGAAGAGCACCAACCUCAGAUGCACAGCGUGCCGGACAGGCAGCUAUUGCAAGAUUUCAGCAGCAAGAAAAACAGCCUAAACGACCACAUUCUGCCACUACAACAUGGAAAUCACGUUCAAAUGAACCUGCAAGCAAACUGGAUGAUGGCCCAGGAGUGAAUGCAUCAAAAUUAAGAAGUGAAGUGGAAGCAGAAUUUAUUAGAGAGUCGGGAGCUUGUGGGUCAGGUGAACAACAGAAUUUUGAAAAGGAGGUUGUACACCAAGACUCAGCUCCAAUUCUUGCAGUCGCCGGUGUGUUCUUCAUUUGUCCAUUCUGCUCCGUCAGUUAUGUGCGACAAGAUAUCCGUGCUCACAUGGAUGACUGUCUCAAAGAGAGCUAUAAAAGUGACCAGAUAUUAACUCCAGUUAAUAUGAUCAGGUCUUUGAACAAAGAUCAAAGUAAAGUAGAUGGUUGUGUUGAUGUUCUGUGCAGAUAUUUGGACAACAUUUUGAAGAAUCCAGACGAAAGUAAAUACCGUAGAAUAAAGCAGGGAAAUAAAGUAUUUCAGGAAAGAGUAAAACCUGUGAAAGGAAGCAUCGAAUUUUUGCUUGCCUGUGGUUUUUCUGAGCAACCAUUACCAGAUAACCCAGGCGAGAUGUGCUUUAUUAUCGAAGAAGGGGCUACCGAUGUGACAGAGAAACUAAAUAUCAUGAAGGAAAUCCUUGUUGCAACAGAGACUUGCAAGCCGAAGCUGGACAGAUCUCUCAGGGUACUCAAGCCGUCAUCAAGUAAUAGUGAAACUGUUCAACUUCCUGAGGGGUUUUUUGACCUAAGUUCAGAUGAAGUGAAGAAGAUGCAAACGGAACGAUUAGUGGAAGUUGAUCGUAAUUCUCAGUUAAGAACUCGUGCGAUGAGAGAAAGAGAAGAGAAAAAUCCAGCAAGGAUAUAUCGAUUCACGCUAUUACGUGUGAAGUUUCCUGAUGGGCACAUCUUACAAGGCACAUUCAAUGCUCGUGAGAAAUGUCAAUCCCUCGAGAACUUUGUGAGAGAACAGCUCCAAAAUGAUUGGCUGCCUUUUGUAUUGUCUGAGCCUGGCGGUGGAAUACUCACUCACGAGGAGUCGAGUUUCGAGGAACUUGGACUGGUUCCAGCCGCUAUUCUACAUUUCAACUGGGAUACAGCAGUGCUCGCAGACCUUGAAGCAAGUGGGAAGUCUAUGGAAACGAACUAUUUAAAGGUGACUUGUCCAUUGGGUUGAAGAACUUAUUGCCUCAACUGCUGACAAUUUACCUGAAAUAAAAAUAAACUUCCCUGCAUAAAAAGUACAAUAUAAAGCAUCCAGAUGACGUUUUUAACAACUAUUUCUUCAGAUGCUCUAACACGCGCGACCUGCAGAGAAGCUGCAGAGAAGAAUUUCUCUGCAGCUUUUCGUAGGUGAAUUCGGCUCUCCUGGUAGAAUGAUUUGGAGUCUUUAUAUUGCAUAUAUUCACUCUUAUUCACAAAAGAAACUUAUGACAACAUACUGUGUAGAUUUUCUUGACAAGAUCCAUAGCGGUAAGUGGCUGUCCCUUGAUUAAUUGCCUUAAAUUCUUCAAGGAUCUGUAAAAUAUUCAGACUAUCACAAAGAAGAUACUAUUUUUCAUGGAUGGUGGCUUAGGUUAUC
rnacentral:misc_RNA from 1 species